UUCAGAAACACCCUCCUAACCCGCAGCCCUGGCCCGACCUUGCGAACCCUCAUCUCUCUCCUUUCACUCUUCUCCCCACCGCCGCCACCAUCGCAGCUCCGCCCCUUCCCACGCAACCUCUACACUGCCAUUGCUCGAGCAUGGAAGCAGCGUGGCCUCUGCUACUACACAGGGAGCGCAUGGAUCCAUGCCAGAUUCGGUGGUGUGCGCGCAGAACUCGCCGCCCCCCAUGACGCCAUGAUCGACGGCGGUGGAGGAAGCACUAGCCUCUUCAAGCCCUCUCCUCCCCGCUUCACCUCCAUGACAGCACGAGCGCCGUCAUCGCUCCAUCAUGGGAAGCCGUGUGGCCUCUGCGAUGCAGGCGAGCACGUUGAGCCGCACGAGAUCUGGCGGCACGCAGAUCUGGCGAAACUCGCCAGCUCCCACAGCCAUGGUCGGCAUAUCAAGAGGAAUCACCCCUUUCCUCUUUGCAUCCACUAAAGAGGCUCGAGGUCGAGCACAUAAACAGGUCAGUCAUGAUGGCAAAGGGGUCCAAGCCAGACGUGACAUUGUUCCAACUCAUCAGCGUCCUUUCUCCAUUCUGCAGGUAUGCUGCUGCCCCUACGGCCCUAAUCUGCCGGUCGUCUUAAGUUCUUCCAUGGUACGGUGUACAACUAGGAGAAUUUUCAUUCAGCCGCACCAAUUUUGUUGCUGUGUUUCAUGGAUUUCGAUUACAUUAUCAAACUAUUGGUAAUAUCAUCAAUAACUUUUGCAUCUAAAAUAGCCUUGGAUUGCUGUCAUGUGCAUCUCAUACCGCCAUUUUAGGCCUUGUGGUGGUAGGUAGCACCUCUAAUGCAUAGCCCGUAGGAAUGCUAGCAUGAAGUCUGGUUACUGCUUGAUUUCCUUGUGUGUAACCCCUUGUAUUUACUAACUGGUUGUAAUUCCUAAACAAUUAUCCUUAACUACCAGUCUUUCAAAUGUGUGCAUUUUGCUUGUUUUGUAACAAGAUAAUUUUGUUGCUCGCAAAAAAAAAAAACAAGAUUGUUUGUGUUCUGACUUGCGACAAGCCAAAAUAGGGACAAUUAGAAUCAUACUUCAGAAGGUCAGGUAGAGCCAGUUGAUCUUGUCAGUUUUUGUCUGAAGCCAAUCGCUGAAAAUAACUAGGGAUAUUUGCCAUUAAGUUUUGCCACAUGACUCAACAAGGACCAUAACUCUGAUCCCAAAAGAGUUGAGUUAAUGAUAGUAACUAGGAAGUAGGGUUGCUUGCUAAGAUCAAAGAUUUGAAGCAUUAGGAUUAGACGUGUGUGCAUGAUGUUUUGAUAGAACUCCUUCCGCAGCUUAGAACUCUUUCCGCGGCUUAAUGGUAAGUUCACAUUUCAUUGCUUGGUAUUUGUUCUCUAGGCCUCUGAAUCUUUCAGUGUUUAACUUUAUAAUUUUUUUUAUUUGUUUCAGUGUUAGCAUAUUCAGUUGCUUACAUUACAUGAUUUGUAGGUCUUGGUGAUAUGGCCUGGACCUUUCUUCUACACAUGGUGGUGAAUUGAUAUAAGCCUGGUUUCUUGGAAGCCUUCUCAUAUGCAUGUGCUCCUGAUAUCCACGGCUCACGAAUUAUCUCGUGAUAACCAUACCCCUUAGGAAUUUAGGUUGGUUGUCUUUUAUGAAAUAAUAUCUUGGCUAGGCAUUAAACUAUUCAAGACUUGAAGAGGUAUAUCAAUGUCUUAAAUAUAUUCAAGCCGCCUGAGGGAUAUAUGGGAUUAGAUAGGUAUAUGUUGUCUACGGUUUUAUUAUGGGCUGCAAUUACAGAUUGAAUAGAUUAGGUGCCACUAUUAUUUGCAUCGAGGCAGCGUGCCGUUCACUUAUGGACACAUGUUACAUGAUUUCUAAUUACAAUCCAUGUGUGCCUUCAUGAUGAUUAUAUUUUGUAUUUACAGUAUGUUGAUGUUAUUGGCUAGACUCUAAUUUCUAUGAUUUUGCUGCUUAGGAUUCUUGGACAAAAGGAGCAAGCAGGUUGAUCACCAAAUAUGCAAGGGGGUGGCAUACAUUAUGAAAGCCCCCAAUAGUCCCCCCGUAUUAAUUACAAGAUCGGGAUGAUCAUAUUGUACUAACUUGAAUAGCUACUAUAUGCCAACUUUGAUUAAUGUGUUGUCUGAUGCAAAAAUCUUCAAAGAUGUAUGAUGAAGUUAAUGUAAUUUGACUUUAAUUUGUUUUAGACUGUGCAAGAAGUCUUACUGUUUCA